rnacentral:rRNA from 1 species
UACAGAGGGUGCAAACGUUGCUCGGAAUCAUUGGGCGUAAAGCGCACGUAGGCGGCCUAGCAAGUAGGGAGUGAAAGCCCUCGGCUUAACCGAGGAAGUGCUUUCUAAACUACUAGGCUUGAAUACUGGAGAGGGUCGCGGAAUUCAUGGUGUAGCAGUGAAAUGCGUAGAGAUCAUGAGGAAGACCAGUGGCGAAGGCGGGUCUCUGGACAGUUCCUGACACUGAGACACGAAGGCCAGGGGAGCAAACGGG